rnacentral:rRNA from 1 species
UUGAAAAGAACUUUGAAGAGAGAGUUCAAGAGUACGUGAAACCGUUCAGGGGUAAACCUAAGAAACCCAAAAGAUCGAACGGGGAGAUUCAUCGUCAGCGACGCUGGCUUCGCGUCGGUGGGCGAUGUCCCGCGGGGCCUCGCGGCUCGCGCGCGGACACGCUGCCGUGCGUCGAUGUCCGGCGUUCGUCGUCGUGCACUUCUCCCCUAGUAGAACGUCGCGACCCGCUGGGUGUCGGUCUACGGUCCGGGUGCGGUGACUGACGCGUCGCCGGUAAAACGGCACGCGUCAAACCCUCGGUCGCCCGGCCGGCUGCCCGGCGGUACGCGCAAGGUAUCAGGCCGCAGCUCUCGCACCGCGUGUGCGACGAGCGUGCGUCGAGGCCGUCGCAAGCGCGCGCCACGGUACGCGGAGGCUAACGGACCUAGUGCCGUCACCGGUCCUGGCCCGCUGUUGGUCGCACGGUUAACCUUCGACAGGCCUACGAACGUCCCCCCGGGGUUUACCCAAUGGGGGGGGACCGAUACCGGUCGGCGACGCUACUGCUUUGGGUACUCUUAGGACCCGUCUUGAAACACGGACCAAGGAGUCUAACAUGUACGCGAGUCAUUGGGACUUAGCGACACCUAAAGGCGUAAUGAAAGUGAAGGUCGGCCCUGGUUGUCGACCGAGGGAGGAUGGGCCGCGUCGCGACGCGGCUCCGCACUCCCGGGGCGUCUCGUUCUCAUCGCGAGAAGAGGCGCACCUAGAGCGUACACGUUGGGACCCGAAAGAUGGUGAACUAUGCCUGGUCAGGACGAAGUCAGGGGAAACCCUGAUGGAGGUCCGUAGCGAUUCUGACGUGCAAAUCGAUCGUCGGAACUGGGUAUAGGGGCGAAAGACUAAUCGAACCAUCUAGUAGCUGGUUCCCUCCGAAGUUUCCCUCAGGAUAGCUGGCACUCGGCCGUUCCGCACGGAACGCGCGCGAGUCUCAUCUGGUAAAGCGAAUGAUUAGAGGCCUUGGGGCCGAAACGACCUCAACCUAUUCUCAAACUUUAAAUGGGUGAGAUCUCUGGCUUUCUUGAACUAUGAAGCCACGAGCAUCUCGGAUCAGAGUGCCAAGUGGGCCAUUUUUGGUAAGCAGAACUGGCGCUGUGGGAUGAACCAAACGCAGAGUUAAGGCGCCCAACUCGACGCUCAUGGGACACCAUGAAAGGCGUUGGUUGCUUAAGACAGCAGGACGGUGGCCAUGGAAGUCGGAAUCCGCUAAGGAGUGUGUAACAACUCACCUGCCGAAGCAACUAGCCCUGAAAAUGGAUGGCGCUGAAGCGUCGAGCCUAUACUCUGCCGUCAGCGGCAAGUGGGGCGGCCGUUGCGCGCCACCAGGCGCGCACGCGCCGCCACGAGGCCCUGACGAGUAGGAGGGUCGCGGCGGUGUGCGCAGAAGGGUCU